rnacentral:rRNA from 1 species
GGCGCAUUAGCUAGUUGGUGGGGUAACGGCCCACCAAGGCGACGAUGCGUAGCCGACCUAAGAGGGUGAACGGCCACACUGGGACUGAGACACGGCCCAGACUCCUACGGGAGGCAGCAGUAGGGGAUCUUCCGCAAUGGGCGAAAGCCUGACGGAGCAACGCCGCGUGAGUGAUGAAGGUUUUCGGAUCGUAAAGCUCUGUUGCCAAGGAAGAACGUCUUCUAGAGUAACUGCUAGGAGAGUGACGGUACUUGAGAAGAAAGCCCCGGCUAACUACGUGCCAGCAGCCGCGGUAAUACGUAGGGGGCAAGCGUUGUCCGGAAUUAUUGGGCGUAAAGCGCGCGCAGGCGGUUCUUUAAGUCUGGUGUUUAAACCCGAGGCUCAACUUCGGAACUGCCUUUGAUACUGGAAAUCUUGAGUCCGGGAGAGGUGGGUGGAACUGCGAGUGUAGAGGUGAAAUUCGUAGAUAUUCGCAAGAACACCAGUGGCGAAGGCGGCUCACUGG